AUCCCGCGGCCCCUCCGCAGCUGGCUCCAAACAAGGGUUAAAGCCCGCCUUGGGGCUGCCGCUGUCCCCGGCGCGUGUGCACGAUGCGCGUGCCCGCCCGGGGCCGCAGCCUCCUCCCUGCCCCGGGAAAUGGGAGGGGCCGUGGGGCCAAGCCUUCGACGCGUCGAUGGGAGGGGCCCUGGCCGCGAAGCCUCGCCCCCAGCUCCCCAGGGCGCCCCCCGGAGCUCGGGCCCGAGGGCAGCCGGGCGGGCGGGCGGGCGGGCGCGCGGAGGAGAUCCCAGACGGUGUCGCCGUCGGGGCCGCGCGGCUCAAACGCUAAUAGAAUAACCCGAGCGACCGCCGCAGCCCGCGUGCAGUUCUUGGGCGCGUCCGCCGGCCCUGGGCCUCAGCGGCCCGCCCAGGGACUUACGCUGCCCCCUCGCAAACACCCUGUGAGGGGGGCACCGCGGUCACCCCUGCCCCAGGGGAGGUGGCCAGGAUGUGCCCGGGGUGGCUACGGGCCCGCCUGCCGCCUCCCGCAGGCGCCCCAGCCCCCUGCUGCUCUCCCAGAUCUGGGGGCACCGGCUCCAGUGACCCCCUCCUUCUUUGGGCCCUGUGAGGACAGUUCAGCCUGGCCCGGCCACGGUGGGCAGGGGAGACCCCGGGCACGCAUCCGGGAAGGGUGCGGACAAAGUAGGAGAGAAGGAGCUGAGACUGACCGGCUGGAGCGCACCGCGUGGCUGGGGGAGGCCGGCGCCCCACGGGGGGCUGGAAGGGGCCGCCCGGUGGAGGCACGUGGCCUGCGUGCAGCGCAGAUGCAGACAGGGAGGGCGGGCAGCCUGCCCAGUGUGGCCAUGUGGCCGCAGUGCCAACAGGGCGAGGAGGGGGGCGGCGGGGGCAAGGGGCAAGCUGGGAGAGUCAGCAGCUCAGUGCCCACAGCACAGCUCUGCCAAGACCCCUCCCCAGGCUCCCCCAGCCCUGGGUAAAGUCCAGCCCCGCACCCCCUCCCGGGACUGCCCCAGUGCCCCAGGCGUCCAGCACAGUCUGUUCCUUCCCCCGGAGCCCCUUGCACGCAUGUGUGCACAUACACCCUCUCCCCAUGGGCAGUGCUCUCUGGGCCUGGGGAAGGGUUUAAGGCACAGCUUGGCCAUCUGACCCGGCAGUGCCCCCCCGGGAUAUACGCCAAGGAUGGGAAGCAGGCUCAGACCUACACUUGCUCACCCACAUCCAUGGCUAUUCACAAGCGCCAAAGACAGGCGCAGCCCUGUGUCCAUCAGCCAACAGCAGAUUAACACGGAGCAGUCAUCUGUGGAGCAUUAUUCAGCCGUAAAAAGGAGUGAGAUCCUGGAGCACGUGACACCACAGAUGAGCCUCAAGGACAUUAUGCUACGUGGAGAAAGCCAGGCCCAAAGGACAAAUAUUGUCAUGAUCCCACUUAACGGGAAACGCCUAGAAUGUGCAAAUUCAUAGAAAGCAGGUUGGAGGGGCAGAGGGGAAGGGGAGUGCCGCCUAGGGAUACAGGCUUUCUGUUUGGAGCAGUGAGCUGCGGUGAUGGGCGGUGGUGAUGGUGGCACAGCAUCGCAAAUAUAAUUAAUGCCACUUAGUUUUACACUUGAAGAUGGUUGAAAUGGCGGGUUUUACUGCAGGCACACAGCCCAGGCUCGGGCGCCAGGCACGCCCAUGACCUCGCCAGCCCCGAGCCACAGGUGCUCCCCCACCUGGGGUGGCUGAUGGCCCCAUGGCGGUGACAUCACAGGGCCGGGAUCCAUGUACGUCUGUCCCACCUGGCACCCAUCACUCCUGAGCCCCCCAGAACCUGCCCACGCGCAGCCGUCCCCAGAGCCGUCCUUCCCACCGCCCAGGCCAGAGGCCUCCUCGCUCUCACCCUCACCAACCCCGGGGAGCCCACCUGAGUGCACAGUCAGACUCUGACCAUAUCACGGUUUCCACGUCCAAGCCACCAUCACUGCUCCCGAGUGCCCCAGGUCCCCUUGUCUGGGGGUUUGCCGAGCGUGGACCGUGCAGCAGGCCCCAUGCAGGACGCAGUCACCCGGCAGACCCUGCCCUCGGGGGCCAAUGUGUCGGGGGAGGAGACAGCAAUGGGCACGAACGUCAGAACAGAAGCAGAUGAGCCACAGCUGAGCCGGCCUGCAGCUGGCCACGGUCAAUGGGAGCCCCUGGUGGAGGCGGUCCCCUCGGCCGGGAGAGGGGCAGCCCGCCCGGCACCCCAGGCCUGCUCACGCAACCCGCUGCUUCCUCGGGGAGCCUGCCCGCCCCUGCCCACACCCCGUCUCUCUGUAUCACCCACCAUUCUCUUUUUUUUUCACUCCAUUGUUCUUUUCGUGUUUGAUGAAGUGAGAUUCCCAUGAUGUACAGUUAUCCGUUCCGUAGUGUCCGAGCCAUGGCGCCCUCGGCCCCCGGCUGGGAGAGGGUGGGCACUUAGCGCCCUCGGCCGUCAUCGCUUUGCUGGAUUGUUUCCCCCGUGGGUUGAUUUUCUGUUUAACAACAUUUCUUAGAUAUCUUUCCACAUCGUACACGUGGACCUAUCUUAUUUUUCAUAUUUUCUAAAAAUUUUAUUGUGGUAACCUAUAUGUAACUCAAAAUAUCCCAUUUUAGCCAUUUUUAAAAGUACAGUUCGGCAACAUUACUCACAUCUUCAAUGUGCUACCUUCACCAGCAUCCGUUACUAAGACCCGUGCAUCUCCCCAACCAGAAGCCUCACUCGGCAGUAGCUCCUGCCUCCUCCCCCUGGCCCCUGGCACCCUAAUCCUCCUGACCCCAUGAACUCACCUGCUUGCGGUGUUCCACAUGAGGGCCCUUUAGUGUCCGGCUUCGUCGGUGUGGGCCCCCUUCUUUCCGUCCACGGCUGAACCACAGUCACCUCCAGGCGUCCGCUGUCUGGAGACAGUGAGCAAGGCCGCGAUGAGCCAGUCUGAGUGGAACCCAGGUGUGGGGUUGCCAUGUGGUCGUUCCAUGUUUAACUUUCUGGGGCCACAGAGCCACGGUCCACGGUGGCUCCAAGGGCAGACACCUUAGAGUUCUGUCCCUGUGUGUCCUCGGGUGCCCAGCAUGGCCCCUGUGAGCUACACCCCCCCCCCGGUAGCCCCCACCUGCCCAGAGCCUCAGGCAGCCCCCCUCGUGCACCAGCGGGUGGGGGCUGGGGUGGCACCUCCUCCCCGGGCAGGGCCCCAGGGCCCACCCUGCACGCAGAGGGGUCAAGGCCACGGGGGCCACGGCGGGGGGAGGUGCGGGCUGCAGGCGAGGCCUUGGAACAGGCCAGGCAGGUCAGUUGCUGGAGGAGGGUGGGCCCAGGGGCCGCGGACACAUUAACCCGCGGAGGCCGGGUACAGGGUGGCCAGUCACUCAUUACCCAGGGCCGAGGCCAGGGCGGGGGGCGGCGGUGCUUACACAACACGUGGCCAUAUAGGAGUCCCCAGCCCCGGGGCUCUCCCCGUCCUGGACCCGCUCCCCUCAGGAUGAAGGCCGUCAUGGGCCCGGACUCUUCCCCUGUCCAUCUGACCGGGGGUCACCCAGAAAUGGCCAAAGAGAAGAGCCGCUUCCGGAACUUCGCGAUUGGUUCCACCUCGUGGGGCUGCUGCAUGACCUGGGCAAGGUUCUGGCCCUGGCGGGGGAG